AAUACUUAGAAGGGAGCUUUGCUUUAGUGGAGACUGAGAUUUAAGUCUUCUAAGUUUUUCAAUUAUUUAAUUGCUAUUACCAUCCACUAAUGCUAUCAUCAUUUUCAGGUCAGCCUAAGUCUGAAAACUCUGACGAAAAAGGUAUCAAACGUCCAAAUAAUCUGCACAUGUCUGCCUCUGUUGCAAGGAAGCGCCUCCUUAAAGCAUUAAGUACUAUUCCAUGAAAGCUUACUGGACUUCUACACUUGAAAGAAUCCUAGUGGUAAGCAGCAUGAAGAUAUUCAUGGACGCAGUGAGGCAAAUCGCAAUAGGAACCAAUGUGUGGGAAGCCAUAUGAGUGGAUGGUAUUUAUAGAACAGAGUGGUGUGGAAGGUCCCUGAUGAAUAGGGUAGGACCAGAUCAUGAAAGUCCUUCAAAGACAGCAGAACUCCUCAUCACUUUUUGGAACAGCUUGAACCUUAAGAUCGCUCUGUGGUUGCUGAUGUUCCGGCUUGCUUUGACUAGAUAAGAUGCUUCCAGUACCUUCUGGUGUGGUAAAAAGGCAAUUAAACGACAUCUGUG
rnacentral:lncRNA from 1 species